CCUUGCCGCCGGCGACCGGCGCAUGUGGUGAGUAACGCGUAUGCGACCUGCCCGUUGCAGGGGGAUAAUCGGGAGAAAUCCCGUCUAAUACCGCGUAAUGCCGCGGGGCUGCAUGGCCCUGCGGCCAAAGGAAGCGAUUCCGGCAACGGAUGGGCAUGCGUGACAUUAGCUAGUUGGCGGGGCAACGGCCCACCAAGGCGACGAUGUCUAGGGGUUCUGAGAGGAAGGUCCCCCACACUGGUACUGAGACACGGACCAGACUCCUACGGGAGGCAGCAGUGAGGAAUAUUGGUCAAUGGGCGCGAGCCUGAACCAGCCAAGUCGCGUGAGAGAUGACGGCCCUACGGGUUGUAAACCUCUUUUGUCGGGGAGCAAAUUCCGCCACGCGUGGCGGAGUCGAGAGUACCCGAAGAAAAAGCAUCGGCUAACUCCGUGCCAGCAGCCGCGGUAAUACGGAGGAUGCGAGCGUUAUCCGGAUUUAUUGGGUUUAAAGGGUGCGUAGGCGGACUGUCAAGUCAGCGGUAAAAUACGGGGGCUCAACCUCCGCCCGCCGUUGAAACUGACGGUCUUGAGUGGGCGAGAAGUAUGCGGAAUGCGUGCUGUAGCGGUGAAAUGCAUAGAUAUCACGCAGAACUCCGAUUGCGGAGGCAGCAUACCGGCGCCCAACUGACGCUGAAGCACGAAAGCGUGGGUAUCGAACAGGAUUAGAUACCCUGGUAGUCCACGCAGUAAACGAUGAAUACUAGCUGUCCGGGGCG
rnacentral:rRNA from 1 species